rnacentral:rRNA from 1 species
GACGAAGGAUGCAAGUGUUAUCCGGAUUCAUUGGGUUUAAAGGGAGCGUAGGUGGCCUUAUAAGUCAGUGGUGAAAUCUCUGGGCUUAACCCAGAAAUUGCCAUUGAUACUGUAGGGCUUGAGUACAGUUGCUGUGGGCGGAAUAUGACAUGUAGUGGUGAAAUACAUAGAGAUGUCAUAGAACACCGAUUGCGAAGGCAGCUCACAAAACUGUAACUGACACUGAGGCUCGAAAGUGCGGGGAU